rnacentral:rRNA from 1 species
GAUGAACGCUGGCGGCGUGCCUAAUACAUGCAAGUCGAGCGAACAGACGAGGAGCUUGCUCCUUUGACGUUAGCGGCGGACGGGUGAGUAACACGUAGAUAACCUACCUAUAAGACUGGGAUAACUUCGGGAAACCGGAGCUAAUACCGGAUAAUAUUUCGAACCGCAUGGUUCAAUAGUGAAAGAUGGCUUUGCUAUCACUUAUAGAUGGACCCGCGCCGUAUUAGCUAGUUGGUAAGGUAACGGCUUACCAAGGCAACGAUACGUAGCCGACCUGAGAGGGUGAUCGGCCACACUGGAACUGAGACACGGUCCAGACUCCUACGGGAGGCAGCAGUAGGGAAUCUUCCGCAAUGGGCGAAAGCCUGACGGAGCAACGCCGCGUGAGUGAUGAAGGUCUUCGGAUCGUAAAACUCUGUUAUUAGGGAAGAACAAACGUGUAAGUAACUGUGCACGUCUUGACGGUACCUAAUCAGAAAGCCACGGCUAACUACGUG